rnacentral:siRNA from 1 species
UUAAUACAAGCUGGAAAAUCCUA